rnacentral:rRNA from 1 species
UCCUUGUAAAGCUCUUUCGCCAGGGAAGAAACGUUACAGUCUAAUAAACUGUGAUACUGACGGUACCUUGAUAAGAAGCACCGGCUAACUACGUGCCAGCAGCCGCGGUAAUACUUAGGGUGCGAGCGUUAAUCGGAAUUACUGGGCGUAAAGCGUGCGCAAGGCGGUUUUGUAAGUCAGAUGUGAAAUCCCCGAGCUCAACUUGGGAACUGCGUUUGAAACUGCAAGGCUUGAGUAUGGUAGAGGGGGGUAGAAUUCCACGUGUAGCAGUGAAAUGCGUAGAGAUGUGGAGGAAUACCAAUGGCGAAGGCAGCCCCCUGGACUAAUACUGACGCUCAUGCACUAAAAGCGUGGGGAGCAAACAGGAUUAGAUACCCUGG